rnacentral:tRNA from 1 species
UAUUAAGUGACUGAAUG